CCUGUGAAUUAUUUACUUGCAAUCAUAUCAGCAGCAUGGUUUUAGCUUGGUGGUUUUACGAGGGCAGUAAGUUACGAAAUAGUCGACUCUGAAAUAGUUUUCGUUUUGCUCACUACACAAUAGUCGAGUUAUGUAACAAAUACGUCGGUAUAAAACUCAUUUUCCGCCAUGAGAAGUACGAUUUUUACAUACAAAAUUUAUUGAACGGCACAGUUAUGGUUUAUGACUCUCUCAGGUCACAGCAGAUAUGGGUGAAAAUAGUCAUCAUUCAACUUCUGAUUAAGAGUAUCUUUAUGCAAAUUCCUGUACCAGUUUAUCCGCCCCCGGUAAUGAUGCCACCACCUCCAAUUCAGGUGGCAGUUGCAAUGCCUAUACCCGUAGUAAUCAAGACAACCACAACUUCAACCACAGAGAGCCCUGUCGCUUUCGCCUAUCCCGUUCCGGUUCCCAUGCCGGUCCAAAUGGCAAUACCAGCACAUCCACCCCCACAGUUUUGUCAAGCUAACCCCAGGCCCAAAAACUGCCCUCCCUGCCCACCUUGUGUUUGUAUGCCAUCCUGCACCCCAUCAUUCUUUUCAUACUGUUCACCAUGUCACCAGAAAUGCAGGUGCCGCAACGGUAUGGAUGCACCUAUGCCCCAACCCCUAGUCCCACCACAGCCAGUCCCAGGGCCCGCGUUUGCCAUGCCCGCCCCAAUGCUGCCGCCACCGCCUCCGCCGAUUAUGAUGGUCCCCGUGCCACCGCUGAUUCGCCGGCGGCCGAGACCACGACCAGUAAAAUCAAGUGAUUCAAGUGAAAGCUGUGGGAGUGAUACUGACUCCGACAGCUCUGCAGGUUGGUAUGUUCGCGCAAAGAGACGCCGCCGGCUAAGGAGGUGGAGGGGAAAGAAAUGGAUGAAUAGACGCAUGGGGCGCAAUAGACCGCUAAGUGACUUUAGUGAUGGCGAAGUCAUUAAGCCAGUACUAACGUAUCUUGCUAACAAUGGAGACAUCAAAAUAAGAAAAAGGCUCAGUAAUAAUGAGGCGGAGCGACUGGUGGACGAUAACGAGAUAGACGAUGGAAGAAGGAGACAAAAAUACGACAUAGUAACAGGUCGCGGAAGAAAUCCAAAGUCAAACGUUUUAUUGGUAUCCGCUGGUGAAGACGAGGAAUUUAGUGGUGAUGGAAAAAGACACGUUGUACUAAGGAGUGGCAUUAUGAAUCGGAAAUUAAAGGCAGGCAGGAAAGAACUUAUUUUUAAGCCUCCAGUGGAUAAAAAAAUCACAAAUCUGUCAGUGUCCUUCCAAGUAGCCGAUAGACGAUAGCAGUUAAUGUUCAGUAAUAUUGUGAUACUUUUUUAUGUGAACAUAGAUUAAACUAUAAACCAUUAAGCAUUCUUCAAUAUUUCUUCGUUCGCUAAAACUUACAUAAUAAAUGACUGUAUGUUAACAAUAGCUAUUCAUUAGCUGCUUACGUGGGCACUACUGGUCAUGCAAUCUCUAUUGGCUUUGAAUUUGCGAAUGCAUUAUUAGUUCUGAAUUUGAGCAGCAUGAACCCGUGGUCUGUUUGUCUCAUGCUACUUUUUUGGGAAGGCAUCAUCAUGAUAGAUGGUGAUGAUGAAUCGAAAAAUGGUAUAGAACCAGUGCCGAUAAACUCGGUAGUGCCUGUAGCACCUCCGUAUGCAAUGCCGAUGCCGUUCAUGCCAGCUCAGCCGCCUGUGAUAGUUCCUGUGCGGACUGUGUACGAGCCGGUGGUCCACGACCACCCGCCGCUGCGGGAGUUCCGCGAGUUUCUCAAGAGAGACAGGCGGCGAAGGAAGAGGCCCUCAUCAAGCAGCUGUGACAACGAUGACACGAGCUUCAGCUCGGAUUCCUCGGACGAAGACGCGUCGCUAGACUACUAUGCAGAUUUCUUCCGAGUCUAGGGUCCCAUAAGAUUGGGGAGGUAUGAAUGUGUUAAAAUUUAUUUAUAUUGUAUUUUUUAAAUGAAAAUAAUACAUUUUUGUAUCUUAAAAUAAAGACAUUUAAAUACUUA